rnacentral:misc_RNA from 1 species
CGCACAUUGCGCCCUUUGGCAUUCCGAAGGGCAUGCCCGUUCGAGCGUCAUUAAACCCAAUCAAGCCUGGCUUGGUAUUGGGCGCCGGGGUCUCCCGCGCCCCAAUUUCACCGGCUGGCCCGUCGCCCGUCUUAGCGUUGUGAAACAUUUUUCGCUAGGGUUGGGGCGGACCACGCCGUUAAACCGCACAAGUUUCUCAUCGAAAUUUGAUUAAGGUUGACCUCGGAUCGGGUAGGAAUACCCGCUGAACUUAA